rnacentral:lncRNA from 1 species
GACACAGGGACCAUUUGAAAAUCUAGGGAAUGGGCAGAUGGGCCCGCGUGGGGUCUUGUUUUGUUUUCUUUGGAUUUUAGGUUGUGGUUUUUAUAAGGAUGUAAAGAUUGUAUUGUGUGUGUUGACGGGGAGGAAAAAGCCAAUGCAAAAGAAAUCAUUGACGACACAAUACAGGGUAGAAAACCAUUCAUGGAGCCUGGUCCCAGGGCAAUGAGGGGAAAGUAGGGUUUCCUACGUGAGUCCUCGAUACAUCGUGGAAGAAAAGAGGGAGAGGACAAAUGAGAGCUAUGCAGGACAAUUCUAAGGCAAAGAAGUUGGAGAAGCUCACAUUUUCUUUUCCCACCUUGUCAUUCCUCUUUCAACCAGGUCCACAUUGGCCAACUGUAUUCAACUGACAAGCUGAUCAUUGAGAAUCGAGACAUGCCCAGGACCUAGCAAGCCGGGGACCAGCCACCAGUGGCGGCCAGGGACCACCUUCAGCAUCCACUCUCUGUUUGAGAUGGGGGCUCCCAAAACCAGCUUACAAUAGCCUUUUGCGCUGCCUGUCCUGUGGGAGCUGAUAAACCAAGUCACAUUUGCAUUCUGUUGCAGGCUUAGUGAAAAAGGACUGCUGUCUUUCCUUGGUUCAAGUGUUAGAAUGGAGAGCUGGAGUUCGUUCAGAAUAGUGCUGUGUGUUACCACGUCUCCCCUGCACCCCAUUCCUACCUUGUAGCUCAUGACCAUUGUGUAUAGCAUUUCUACACUUUGUUUCUUGGUCCUUGGCAAUAAAAAGAAUGAUCUCCCUGAGCCUUUGACCCCAG